GACGAACGCUGGCGGCGUGGAUUAGGCAUGCAAGUCGAACGGUAUCAUCCUUUCGGGGGUGAGAGAGUGGCGAACUGGUGAGUAACACGUAGGUUAUCUACCCUCAAGACGGGGACAACCCAGGGAAACUUGGGCUAAUACCGGAUGUGAGCAACUUUUAGUUGUUUGAAAGGUGGCGUAAGCUGUCGCUUGGGGAUGAGCCUGCGUCCUAUUAGUUAGUUGGUGAGGUAACGGCUCACCUAGGCAAUGAUAGGUAGGCGGCCUUAACGGGUGGUCGCCCACCACUGGGAUUGAGAUACGGCCCAGACUCCUACGGGAGGCAGCAGUCGAGAAUAGUCUACAAUGGUCGGAAGACUGAUAGUGCGACGCCGCGUGAACGAUGAAUCCCUUCGGGGUGUAAAGUUCUUUUAUAUGUGAGCAGUGCUUCUUAUAUUAACAGUAUGGGGAGAGAGAUAUUAGCAUAUGAAUAAGCAACGGCUAACUCCGUG
rnacentral:rRNA from 1 species